rnacentral:rRNA from 1 species
GACGAACGCUGGCGGCGUGCCUAAUACAUGCAAGUGGAGCGACGAACCAGGGCUUGCCCUGGGGCAGAGCCGCGAACGGGUGAGUAACACGUGGGUAACCCACCUCGAUGACCGGGACAACCCGAGGAAACUCGGGCUAAUACCGGAUGUGCUCCUCUCACACCAGUGGGAGGAGGAAAGAUAGCUUUGGCCUUCGCAUCGAGACGGGCCCGCGGCGCAUUAGCUUGUUGGUGGGGUAAAGGCCUACCAAGGCUUCGAUGCGUAGCUGGUCUGAGAGGACGAUCAGCCACACUGGGACUGAGACACGGCCCAGACUCCUACGGGAGGCAGCAGUAGGGAAUCUUGCACAAUGCGCGAAAGCGUGAUGCAGCAACGCCGCGUGGGGGAAGAAUGCCUUCGGGUUGUAAACCCCUUUCAGUUGGGACGAAGGUUCGACGGUUAAUAGCCGGCUGGACUGACGGUACCUUCAGAAGAAGCUCCGGCUAACUACGUGCCAGCAGCCGCAGUAAAAC